GAGAAGGUAAAGGUGUUGAUAGGAGACUCAGAGGAAGAAAGAAGAAGAUGGGAAAAGUCGGUCGCGAGUAAAACCAUUACCUAGACGUAUUAAAAUUAACGUUCUUAGCCCUUCUUAUCGGAAUAUGAUCAACGAACAAGGUCCAAUCCGAGGCCUAGGAUGGCGUUGAAGUUGGCGUGGAAUUGAUGCCAAUAAGGUUCCCCUUAUCGAUUUGGAAGAUAUGUUUACCCUUAAGAAGAAACCAACCACUUCUCUAUCGGAUUCUCAAACUGUAACUUCUUCUGAAACUGAGUCAGUUGUGGAGGACAAUUCUGUUUCUCACUCUCAUUUGGUUAAGUGUUCCAGCUCUACUGCUAAGGUCGUCAAGGGGAAACAUUCAAAUUUGUAUUAAAGAAGACAAAGAAGAGGGAAAAUGGGGAAAACUUAAUUUGUUUUUAUAAAUUUGAAGUAGACAAAGAUUCUUGAUAGGCGUCUUCAACAUUUGCGGUGCCAUACAUCAAAACACAAUCAUCCUUAUAUUAAAUUCCUUAAAUUCCUUCCUGGGAACAAAAAUAGUCUGAUGGCAGAAAUGGAUGACUAUACUCAUCUCUACAAGAAAGUUGUGGAAUUUCCCGAAAAAUACUAUUACGGAGCAUAAAUGAAACUUGUUAUUAUUGGGUGAGGAAGCUUGUUUUCCUUUUUCAAAUCUCGCGACUGGAGGCUACAACCUACAUCUUUAUUUGCUAUUGUUGAAGAAUUUGGAAUAUAUCGAAAAUUCAUAGCUUACAACUUUGUCAUUUUUAUACACGUCUACAAGAGGUGCAAUCUUUUCUCUAUAAUUGACAAUUGCAUUUAGACUAUAUAUACUUUUGUUUAAGGUAAAAUUAUUCUCUAUAAUUGGCAAUCGCAUUUAGACUAUAUAUACUUUUUGAUUAAGGUAAAAUUGUUGUGUUCUGCCAUUAAUUUUUACUUAUUGAAUUGGGUGUUUGUUAUUGUGUCUA